rnacentral:lncRNA from 1 species
GAAUAAAAGUACUAAUGUCUUUAUAUUUCUGUGUACUUCUAUAUUAACUUAUAAAGACAAAUCUUAAAUAUCUAUUAUAUGAUUUGUCUGCCUUAAUGUUAAACUACACUAUAGCACUCUGGAGUGAUUAAUAGCUCAUUUUAAGUGAUACCUUUAUUCCAUGAUUUUCUGUCUUUUGUGAAUACAAAACAGCAUACAAGCUUUAUCGUCUUCUAUUUAUUAUAAAUAAUCUUUUCGGUUAAAAAAAAAGUGUUCCAUCUGCCAAAUAGUUCAGGUAUUGUGAAGCCAUACAAUAGCUUUGCAAAACUGAGUUAACUGAUCAUCUUCCCAUCACUAUGUGAAGUAGUUUCACAGUCUUUAUUUGGGUAAAUGAAGUCUCUCACCUCAGUCUAAUCUACUUGUGAAAACACUGCAUGAUUCCUCACUGUUUAUUUGAGUUGCUCAAUCAAUAUCCAUUUGUCUCUGAACUAAAAAGUCUAAUGUAGAAAAAUAGAAUCAAUUUAAUCAUGAAUGUAGGCUGCUGAGUGUGCUCACUUUAAUCACUGAUGGCCAGAUUUAAAGGAAGAGUUCACCCCAGAAUUAAAAUGUACUCACCAUUAGGUCAUCCAAGAUGAAGAUGAGUUUGUUUCUUCAUCAGAACAGAUUUUGAGAAAUGUAGCAUUCCAUCACUUGCUCACCAGUGGAUCCUCUGCAGUGAAUGGGUGCCAUCAGAAUGAGAGUCCAAACAGCUGAUAAAAACAUUACAAUAAUCCACAAGUAAUCCACAGCACUCCAGUCCAUCAGUUAACAUCUUGUGAAGACUAAAGCUGCAUGUUUGUAAGAAACAAAUCCAUCAUGAAGACACGUGGGCAGUCGUGGCUUAAUGGUUAGAGAGUCAGACUUGUAACCCAAAGGUCGCAGGUUAGAGUCUGAGAAAUAUGCACAGAUCAAGCACCCUUUACAACAGCUCUAAACAAAUAAGUGGGUGGAGUUUGAUGUGGGAGGACAACCGGGAAUGGACUUUUUCACUGGAGGAAGCAUGAUGAUGUUUUUAUCAGCUGUUUGGACUCUCAUUCUGAUGGCACCGAUUCACUGCAGAGGAUCCAUUGGUGAUGUAAUGUUCAAUUUCUCCAAAUCUGUUCCUCUUCUACAUCUUGGAUGGCCUGGAGUUCAAUGCAGGAUUUUCAGAAAUAUUGAAACGAAAACACGAUUCUGUGUGACUAUAUUGGAUCCGACAGUAAUGUUGCACCACAAGUGUGAGUACCUUUUUUUUUAUUACAUGCACACUAUAACUCUGUUAUUACAGAUAGUUUGAAAUGUAAUGAGUAUUUAUGAGUUUUUAACCUAAAUUGCAGCAGCGUCCAUCUAUGAGGGCUGUAUGUUGGCCAUACAACUGUUAGCCAAUCAUAGCAGUGGGCAUUUACUUCUGAGUCGACAAUCAGCCACACCUGUUCCAACAGAGCGUUCCCAUGAGGGGGUCAAAACCGGACUGAAUAUAGCCUAUUACUGCUAAAUUGUUUUUAAUGUAAAAAUCUUGAUAAUUGGACCAUAGAAAACAGUACAAAAUAAAAAAAAAGAAGGCAUUCCAUGAGCCCUUUAAAUCUCUUUGAUUUGUGUUCCUUGUUCAAAGAUUACAAGCUCGACCAUCAGCUGAAUCCCAUUUUUCAUGGGUCCGGCGUCUAUCAUAGGCUGUGCUGAGUGUGAUAGCUUUAAACAGAAAGCCUCUGCAACAGCAGCCAAUGCGAUCAAUACAGCUACGGUAUAUGAGGUGAACUGAAGGAAGAUCAAUGAUGAACAAUGUGUUAAAGACAGUAGCACAGUAGAGGCUCUAUGUUGCAUUAAUGUUGUAUUUGAUAAUGUUGGUUUCAUUUUAUUUUAUACAAAUAAUAUUUACCCACAGUAAGGAACGGAACAGCAUAAAAAUAAUCUUAUAAUAAAUGAUAAAUAUAUAUUCUACACUGUACUAGAUGUGUAAAUGCAUUAAUGCAUGCCGUAUGAAGUUAAAUCAA